rnacentral:lncRNA from 1 species
GGAGAAGAACAAUGCAUGAGAACUGAACUUUCUCAGGUAUGUCAGAUCUCCUAUAGGUUAGCUAUCCAAAAUGAUAUAUAUAUAUAUAUAUAUACUUAGUUACCUAUGUUAUCUCUAAUAUGCUUAGUUUCCUAUAGGUUAGCUUCAUUUUUAACUAAGUUGGCUCUAGUAUACUAACUUAGAGAUUAUAUGCUUAGUUUCCUAUAGGUUAGCUCCAAAAUAACUUAUGUUAGCACAAAAUGAUCAAGUUUACAUAAUAAGCUUAUAGUCUUUUUCUUAUUCUUCUUCUUUUCCAAAAUGACAUAGGUUAGCUUCAUUUUUACCUAAGUUGGCUCUAAUAUACUAACUUAGAGCUUAUAUUCUUAGUUUCCUAUAGGUUAGCUCCAAAAUAACUUAUGUUAGCACAAAAUAAUCAAGUUUACAUAAUAAGCUUAUAGUCUUUUUCUUAUUCUUCUUCUUUUCCAAAAUGACAUAGGUUAGCUUCAUUUUACCUAAGUUGGCUCUAAUAUACUAACUAAGAGCUUAUAUGCUUAGUUUCCUAUAGGUUAUUUCCAAAAUAACUUAUGUUAGCACAAAAUGAUCAAGUUUACAUAAUAAGCUUAUAGUCUUUUUCUUAUUCUUCUUCUUUUCCAAAAUGACAUAGGUUAGCUUCAUUUUACCUAAGUUACCUAAGUUCUUCUUCUUCUAACUUCUUGUUUAUCAUUUUGCAGAUUUGAUUUAAUUGACGGAAGCUUGCGUGGAUGGAGUGCUUCUUUUCCAUUUGUGUUUUUAUUUUGUAUCAAUGUGAAACUUUUUUGAAUUGAUGGAUAACGGCGUUGGAUGAACAAUGUGAAACUUUUGUAAUAUGUAACGAUGGAACUAUGUGUUGGCUAUGUAUGUAUAUAUGAUGAAACUUGUGUGUUGGAUAUGAUUGUUAUAUGGAUU